GGUUAAGCGACUAAGCGUACACGGUGGAUGCCCUGGCAGUCAGAGGCGAUGAAGGACGUGCUAAUCUGCGAAAAGCGCCGGCGAGGUGAUAUGAACCUUUGACCCGGCGAUGUCCGAAUGGGGAAACCCAGUGCAAUCCGUUGCACUAUCGUUAACUGAAUACAUAGGUUAACGAGGCGAACCGGGGGAACUGAAACAUCUAAGUACCCCGAGGAAAAGAAAUCAACCGAGAUUCCCCCAGUAGCGGCGAGCGAACGGGGAGCAGCCCGGAGUCUGAAUCAGCUUGUGUGUUAGUGGAACGGUCUGGAAAGUCCGACGGUACAGGGUGAUAGUCCCGUACACGAAAAUGCACAUGCUGUGAACUCGAAGAGUAGGGCGGGACACGUGGUAUCCUGUCUGAAUAUGGGGGGACCAUCCUCCAAGGCUAAAUACUCCUGACUGACCGAUAGUGAACCAGUACCGUGAGGGAAAGGCGAAAAGAACCCCGGCGAGGGGAGUGAAAAAGAACCUGAAACCGUGUACGUACAAGCAGUGGGAGCCUCUUUAUGGGGUGACUGCGUACCUUUUGUAUAAUGGGUCAGCGACUUAUAUUCUGUAGCAAGGUUAACCGUAUAGGGGAGCCGCAGGGAAACCGAGUCUUAACUGGGCGUUAAGUUGCAGGGUAUAGACCCGAAACCCGGUGAUCUAGCCAUGGGCAGGUUGAAGGUUGGGUAACACUAACUGGAGGACCGAACCGACUAAUGUUGAAAAAUUAGCGGAUGACUUGUGGCUGGGGGUGAAAGGCCAAUCAAACCGGGAGAUAGCUGGUUCUCCCCGAAAGCUAUUUAGGUAGCGCCUCGUGAACUCAUCUUCGGGGGUAGAGCACUGUUUCGGCUAGGGGGUCAUCCCGACUUACCAACCCGAUGCAAACUACGAAUACCGAAGAAUGUUAUCACGGGAGACACACGGCGGGUGCUAACGUCCGUCGUGAAGAGGGAAACAACCCAGACCGCCAGCUAAGGUCCCAAAGUCAUGGUUAAGUGGGAAACGAUGUGGGAAGGCACAGACAGCCAGGAUGUUGGCUUAGAAGCAGCCAUCAUUUAAAGAAAGCGUAAUAGCUCACUGGUCGAGUCGGCCUGCGCGGAAGAUGUAACGGGGCUAAACCAUGCACCGAAGCUGCGGCAGCGACACUAUGUGUUGUUGGGUAGGGGAGCGUUCUGUAAGCCGUUGAAGGUGUGCUGUGAGGCAUGCUGGAGGUAUCAGAAGUGCGAAUGCUGACAUAAGUAACGAUAAAGCGGGUGAAAAGCCCGCUCGCCGGAAGACCAAGGGUUCCUGUCCAACGUUAAUCGGGGCAGGGUGAGUCGACCCCUAAGGCGAGGCCGAAAGGCGUAGUCGAUGGGAAACAGGUUAAUAUUCCUGUACUUGGUGUUACUGCGAAGGGGGGACGGAGAAGGCUAUGUCAGCCGGGCGACGGUUGUCCCGGUUUAAGCAUGUAGGCGGAGGUUCCAGGUAAAUCCGGUACCUUAUUAACGCUGAGGUGUGAUGACGAGGCACUACGGUGCUGAAGUGAUAAAUGCCCUGCUUCCAGGAAAAGCCUCUAAGCAUCAGGUAACACGAAAUCGUACCCCAAACCGACACAGGUGGUCAGGUAGAGAAUACCAAGGCGCUUGAGAGAACUCGGGUGAAGGAACUAGGCAAAAUGGUGCCGUAACUUCGGGAGAAGGCACGCUGAUGUGUAGGUGAAGCCCCUGCGGGCGGAGCUGAAAUCAGUCGAAGAUACCAGCUGGCUGCAACUGUUUAUUAAAAACACAGCACUGUGCAAACACGAAAGUGGACGUAUACGGUGUGACGCCUGCCCGGUGCCGGAAGGUUAAUUGAUGGGGUUAUCCGUAAGGAGAAGCUCUUGAUCGAAGCCCCGGUAAACGGCGGCCGUAACUAUAACGGUCCUAAGGUAGCGAAAUUCCUUGUCGGGUAAGUUCCGACCUGCACGAAUGGCGUAAUGAUGGCCAGGCUGUCUCCACCCGAGACUCAGUGAAAUUGAACUCGCUGUGAAGAUGCAGUGUACCCGCGGCAAGACGGAAAGACCCCGUGAACCUUUACUAUAGCUUGACACUGAACAUUGAGCCUUGAUGUGUAGGAUAGGUGGGAGGCUUUGAAGCGUGGACGCCAGUCUGCGUGGAGCCAACCUUGAAAUACCACCCUUUAAUGUUUGAUGUUCUAACGUUGGCCCCUGACCGGGGUUGCGGACAGUGUCUGGUGGGUAGUUUGACUGGGGCGGUCUCCUCCCAAAGCGUAACGGAGGAGCACGAAGGUUAGCUAAUCCUGGUCGGACAUCAGGAGGUUAGUGCAAUGGCAUAAGCUAGCUUGACUGCGAGCGUGACGGCGCGAGCAGGUGCGAAAGCAGGUCAUAGUGAUCCGGUGGUUCUGAAUGGAAGGGCCAUCGCUCAACGGAUAAAAGGUACUCCGGGGAUAACAGGCUGAUACCGCCCAAGAGUUCAUAUCGACGGCGGUGUUUGGCACCUCGAUGUCGGCUCAUCACAUCCUGGGGCUGAAGUAGGUCCCAAGGGUAUGGCUGUUCGCCAUUUAAAGUGGUACGCGAGCUGGGUUUAGAACGUCGUGAGACAGUUCGGUCCCUAUCUGCCGUGGGCGCUGGAGAAUUGAGGGGGGCUGCUCCUAGUACGAGAGGACCGGAGUGGACGCAUCACUGGUGUUCGGGUUGUCAUGCCAAUGGCACUGCCCGGUAGCUAAAUGCGGAAGAGAUAAGUGCUGAAAGCAUCUAAGCACGAAACUUGCCCCGAGAUGAGUUCUCCCUGAGACCUUGAGUCUCCUGAAGGAACGUUAAAGACUAUGACGUUGAUAGGUCGGGUGUGUAAGCGCAGCGAUGCGUUGAGCUAACCGAUACUAAUGAACCGUGAGGCUUAACCUU
rnacentral:rRNA from 1 species